ACUGCUCAGUAACACGUGGCUAAUCUACCCUUAAGUCAAAGAUAACCUCGGGAAACUGAGACUAAGAUUUGAUAGGGGUGAAGUGCUGGAAAGCAAUCACCCAUAAAUUCGAGCUUAAGGAUGAGGCUGCGGACGAUUAGCUAGUUGGUGGGGUAACUGCCUACCAAGGCUUUGAUCGUUACGGGCUCUUAGCGGAGUUGCCCGGAGAAGGAAUCUGAGACACUAUUCCUAGCUCUACGGAGUGCAGCAGCAGCGAAUCAUUUGCAAUGCGCGAAAGCGUGACAAUGCGAACCAAAGUGCUUUUCUAUUUUUUGAAAAGCUUUUCUUCACUUUAAAAAGGUGGAGGAAUAAGGACUGGGCAAGACCGGUGCCAGCCGCCGCGGUAAUCCCGGCGGUCCAAGUCGCAUCCACAAUUAUUGGGUCUAAAACAUCCGUAGCUUGUUUUGUAAGUCUCUUGUGAAAUUCCAUAUCUUAAGUAUGGAGCGUGCAAGAGAUACUACAAGGCUUUGAGACCGGAAGACGCAAAGAGUACGAUUGAGGUAGCGGUAAAAUGUGUUAAUCUUGGUCGGACUAACAGUGGCGAAGGCGCUUUGCGAGUACGGAUCUGACAGUGAGGGAUGAAGGCUAGGGGCGCAAAAGGGAUUAGAUACCCCUGUAGUCCUAGCAGUAAACACUGCAUACUAAACAUCAGUACCUCUUCGAGAGGUAUUGGUGCUGUAGGGAAGCCGAAGAGUAUGCUACCUGGGAAGUAUAGUCGCAAGACCGAAACUUAAAGGAAUUGGCGGGGGAGGGUGCUGUAGGGAAGCCGAAGAGUAUGCUACCUGGGAAGUAUAGUCGCAAGACCGAAACUUAAAGGAAUUGGCGGGGGAG
rnacentral:rRNA from 1 species